UACGAAGGGGGGCUAGCGUUGCUCGGAUUGACUGGGCGUAAAGGGCGCGUAGGCGGUUCGUACAGUCAGACGUGAAAUUCCUGGGCUCAACCUGGGGGCUGCGUUUGAUACGUGCGGGCUUGAGUUCGGAAGAGGGUCGUGGAAUUCCCAGUGUAGAGGUGAAAUUCGUAGAUAUUGGGAAGAACACCGGGUGGCGAAGGCGGCGACCUGGUCCGAUACUGACGCUGAGGCGCGAAAGCGUGGGGAGCAAACAGG
rnacentral:rRNA from 1 species